rnacentral:rRNA from 1 species
GAUGAACGCUGGCGGCGUGCCUAAUACAUGCAAGUCGAGCGAACGGACGAGAAGCUUGCUUCUCUGAUGUUAGCGGCGGACGGGUGAGUAACACGUGGAUAACCUACCUAUAAGACUGGGAUAACUUCGGGAAACCGUAGCUAAUACCGGAUAAUAUUUUGAACCGCAGGGUUCAAAAGUGAAAGACGGUCUUGCUGUCACUUAUAGAUGGAUCCGCGCUGCAUUAGCUAGUUGGUAAGGUAACGGCUUACCAAGGCAACGAUGCAUAGCCGACCUGAGAGGGUGAUCGGCCACACUGGAACUGAGACGCGGUCCAGACUCCUACGGGAGGCAGCAGUAGGGAAUCUUCCGCAAUGGGCGAAAGCCUGACGGAGCAACGCCGCGUGAGUGAUGAAGGUCUUCGGAUCGUAAAACUCUGUUAUUAGGGAAGAACAUAUGUGUAAGUAACUGUUCACAUCUUGACGGUACCUAAUCAGAAAGCCACGGCUAACUACGUG